rnacentral:rRNA from 1 species
ACCCGCACAAGCAGCGGAGCGUGUGGUUUAAUUCGUUGCUACACGAAGAACCCUACAGGGUUUGACAUGCAAGUGGUAGGAAGCCGAAAGGUGACCGACCCUUCGGGGAGCUUGCACAGGUGCUGCAUGGCUGUCGUCAGCUCGUGUCGUGAGAUGUUCGGUUAAGUCCGCUAACGAGCGCAACCCUCGCUGUGUGUUAUAUGUGUCACACGGGACUGCCGGUCUUAAGCCGGAGGAAGGUGGGGAUGAUGUCAAGUCAGCAUGGCCUUUAUAUCCUGGGCUACACACACGCUACAAUGGCCAACACAAUAGGUUGCUAAGCCGCGAGGUGGCGCCAAUCCAUAAAGUUGGUCUCAGUUCAGAUUGUAGGCUGCAACCCGCCUGCAUGAAGAUGGAGUUGCUAGUAACCGCAGGUCAGCUAUACUGCGGUGAAUACGUUCCCGGGGCUU